rnacentral:sRNA from 2 species
UCAUUCCACCGCUAACCUGGCGGAUGAGUGGUGUACAAAGCGCCGCGCAGAAGACAUUAUCAGGUC